AUGUGGCUCAGGGUCAGAGUGCUUGCCUCCCAUGCAUGAUUUUAUGGGUUCGAUUCCUUUACCACAUA
rnacentral:tRNA from 1 species